UUCCGUAGGUGAACCUGCGGAGGGAUCAUUACACAAUACAAUACGAAGGCCGUUCGCGGCUGGACUAUGUUAUUACCCUUGUCUUUUGCGCACUUGUUGUUUCCUGGGCGAGUUCGCUCGCCACCAGGACCACAAUAUAAACCUUUUUUAUGCAGUUGCAAUCAGCGUCAGUAUAACCAAUGUAAAUCAUUUACAACUUUCAACAACGGAUCUCUUGGUUCUGGCAUCGAUGAAGAACGCAGCGAAAUGCGAUACGUAGUGUGAAUUGCAGAAUUCAGUGAAUCAUCGAAUCUUUGAACGCACAUUGCGCCCUUUGGUAUUCCAAAGGGCAUGCCUGUUCGAGCGUCAUUUGUACCCUCAAGCUUUGCUUGGUGUUGGGCGUUUUUUUGUCUCUGGUUUGCCCAAAGACUCGCCUUAAAACGAUUGGCAGCCGGCCUACUGGUUUCGCAGCGCAGCACAUUUUUGCGCUUGCAAUCAGCAAAAGAGGACGGCAAUCCAUCAAGACUCCUUCUCACGUUUGACCUCGG
rnacentral:rRNA from 1 species